rnacentral:lncRNA from 1 species
AUUGGAAAUAGCUUUUUUUUUCUCUUACAUUCUGAUUAGUUUCCCUUCCCUCUACUCCUAGUUCUUCCUUCCCCUCUCAUCCAGAUCCACCCUCUUUCUGUCUCAUUAAAAAACUAAAACAGGCUUCUAGGGAUAAGAGUAAAGUAAAAUAAGAUAAAAACUAAUACACCAGAAUAGGCGAAACAAACUUAAGUGGAAAUUUUUAUUUUUUUGAGGUAGUCUCAUGUAACCCAGAAUGGCAGCCAGUUCUAAUGAUUGUGAAAUUGCAGGAGUAUGCUUCCAAGUGAAAGAUUUGUUUUGAUUACUUUUACCCAUUCAAGUAUAUAUUAUAUAUGGUGAUGUACAUUAAACCUAAAUUUAGAUUAUAAGUUGCAGAAAAUUGGGACAUUGCUAUCACGUGGAGACAAUGAUAAGUGAUCUUGAAGAUGCCUCUUGGAAUCAGCAAACCACAGCUCUGGGAGGGUGGGUGGGAUUAUGUUUGCCAGGGAGUUGUCUUACAGAAUUAGAAUGUUCUACACAAGUAGAAUAAAGGUUUCAAGGGAAUGAGCACUUGUUUACUGGACCCUUUGAGGGUUAAAAAAACAAAACAAAACAGUUCUGUUACAGUAGGGAAGGAAGGAAGACUGUUUGCAAAAUAUAAUUUACAAUCCAGUGUUUCUUGGCUGAAAACCACUGUUCUUUAAUAAAUACAAGCGACACUUUAUGAUAUUUUACUCAUUUAUUCCUGGAGGACAGGUAACUGUACUAUUAAAAACGUGCAGCU